AAAUCACGGCAGUGUUGACAUUUUUAGGAUCUGGAGGAAGGUAGCUUCCAGGCACAGGGGAUUUAUUUUGGUUAAAGUAGGCCUAGAGAGAGAACAAGAGAAACAUCCCUGUUAUCGUGUGAGACUGCCCUCGAUUUCAGGGUCUUCGAAGGCCUGUCUGUGAUGCUGAGGAGUGAGGUGGCCCCAUGUGAACCCCACAGUGGACGAGCAUGAAGACAAAGCACAGCUGACCUCCCUGCCCCCUUGUUGCGGGACUGUAGGGGAGUCGUGGGAGAGAGGAGCCCCUUACAGAGGAGGAAGCACUGCCGUCUCCAGCCGAUUAGCCCUGAAACUGCUCCUUGGUCCCCCAGACCUCCGAUUUUCCGAGAGAGGCUACAUGUCUUCAUUUUCCAGUGAAUUCCUCCAUUUGAAUGUUGCCUCAGGAGAUGUGGCAGUCUUUGAAUUCUGCUAAUCCAGGAUCCAUGGGAGGUGUUUCACUCAGAGGUGGUGUAUCAGGCGGGACACAAGGAUGUGGUUGUUCUCAAGCUCUCAGUGAUUUGAUCUGCUGACUCUUGAAGGGUAGGGCCCUUUCAAGUCUGGCCGAGACUUAGCCCCACAGGAGGCUGGGCAAGUGCCAGCCCUUGAUGGCUUCUAUAUGAAGAUGUCACAAUGAACCAGACCCCAGUUCUGAUGCGAAUGCUGCAACCUCCCUCUGUUUUCUCUGCUGGAUCCUAGAAGUCAGCUACUAGAGGAGAGAAGAGGGGUAGCAUGACUAUAAGGGGGACUAUACUGGCAAAUGUCACCUUUGAUUCUUGGUAUGUUGUCUUUUCAUUACUCCUCCGUUAUAAACAUUUCCAGGGAUUUCCCUGGUGGUCCAGUGUUAAGAAGCCACCUUCCAAUGGUCAGAAAACUGAGAUCCCACAUGCCU